rnacentral:rRNA from 1 species
UACGGAGGGGGCGAGCGUUAUUCGGAAUCAUUGGGCGUAAAGGGCGCGUAGGCGGCUUUGUAAGUCUUGGGUGAAAGCCCUCGGCUCAACCGAGGAAUUGCCUUGGAUACUGCGAAGCUCGAGGCUGGAAGAGGACAGUGGAAUUCCCGGUGUAGCGGUGAAAUGCGCAGAUAUCGGGAGGAACACCCGUAGCGAAGGCGGCACUCUGGGCCGGUACUGACGCUGAGACGCGAAAGCGUGGGGAGCGAACAGG